AUAAUGGGUCAGCGACUUAUAUUCUGUAGCAAGGUUAACCGUAUAGGGGAGCCGGAGGGAAACCGAGUCUUAACCGGGCGUUAAGUUGCAGGGUAUAGACCCGAAACCCGGUGAUCUAGCCAUGGGCAGGUUGAAGGUUGGGUAACACUAACUGGAGGACCGAACCGACUAAUGUUGAAAAAUUAGCGGAUGACCUGUGGCUGGGGGUGAAAGGCCAAUCAAACCGGGAGAUAGCUGGUUCUCCCCGAAAGCUAUUUAGGUAGCGCCUCGUGAAUUCAUCUCCGGGGGUAGAGCACUGUUUCGGCUAGGGGGCCAUCCCGGCUUACCAACCCGAUGCAAACUGCGAAUACCGGAGAAUGUUAUCACGGGAGACACACGGCGGGUGCUAACGUCCGUCGUGAAGAGGGAAACAACCCAGACCGCCAGCUAAGGUCCCAAAGUCAUGGUUAAGUGGGAAACGAUGUGGGAAGGCCCAGACAGCCAGGAUGUUGGCUUAGAAGCAGCCAUCAUUUAAAGAAAGCGUAAUAGCUCACUGGUCGAGUCGGCCUGCGCGGAAGAUGUAACGGGGCUAAACCAUGCACCGAAGCUGCGGCAGCGACGCUGAUGCGUUGUUGGGUAGGGGAGCGUUCUGUAAGCCUGCGAAGGUGGCCUGUGAGGGUUGCUGGAGGUAUCAGAAGUGCGAAUGCUGACAUAAGUAACGAUAAAGCGGGUGAAAAGCCCGCUCGCCGGAAGACCAAGGGUUCCUGUCCAACGUUAAUCGGGGCAGGGUGAGUCGACCCCUAAGGCGAGGCCGAAAGGCGUAGUCGAUGGGAAACGGGUUAAUAUUCCCGUACUUGGUGUUACUGCGAAGGGGGGACGGAGAAGGCUAUGUUGGCCGGGCGACGGUUGUCCCGGUUUAAGCGUGUAGGUGUGUGUUCCAGGUAAAUCCGGUUCACUUUAACACUGAGGCGUGAUGACGAGGCACUACGGUGCUGAAGCAACAAAUGCCCUGCUUCCAGGAAAAGCCUCUAAGCAUCAGGUAACAUCAAAUCGUACCCCAAACCGACACAGGUGGUCAGGUAGAGAAUACCAAGGCGCUUGAGAGAACUCGGGUGAAGGAACUAGGCAAAAUGGUGCCGUAACUUCGGGAGAAGGCACGCUGACA
rnacentral:rRNA from 1 species